UUUUUUUUUGGGUCAAAGAAUAAACCAGCAGAGCUUUGAGAGAAGCAGCAGCCAAACAGACAGGGAGGAAUUCAUGGACAUCCCUCAGCACCAGGAGCUGAGGCUGGGGUGGCCACAGGGAGAGGCUUCCCUGCAGCUGCUCUUCAACUCCCAGCGGAGUGGCUUACAGAGAAAACACAGAUUGCUUCCUCUCACAGAGACCCAUUUUCCAGUUUUCUCACAAAACCCAAGCGCUGAAACAAAGCAAACGCCGCGUCCUGUUUUAAGAGAGGAGGAAAACUUACCGUGGGCAGCACCUGGGAUGGCACAGAGUCCAAGAGGGAAAAUAAGCAGAGAAAGCAGAGAAACCCGUGUCCUCUCCCUUCGAUGCUGCUCAGCCUUCUGACAGUGGCUGGAGCAUGCCAGAGACUGACAAGUUCCCUAUAAACACUGCUCCAGUAAAGAAAAAAAACAAAAAAAACAAC